GGGUUCACAAAGCUGUAAUGGAAAUCUUAGGAUUCAGGGCAGAAAAUCAAGAUUCAGUCACCAAAAAUCUAUCUCUUGCGUUUCAGGGAGCCCAAAUGAUGAUCAAAUCCAGGGGCAUAUUCGUCUUGUUUCAAAGUAUGCAUUGAGGAGGAUCAGAUGAUAGUUUCAUUCACAUUAUCAAAAGACAAUAAGUAUCUUCUUGUUAGUCUCGUGAAUGAAGAGUUACAUCUUUGGAACAUCCAGGGGCAUAUUCGUCUUUGGAACACUUGAGCUUUUAUUUGGUGGAAUUGCUCGUAUCCUGCGUACUUUUUUUCCAUUAUUAAGAAGUUCAACCAAUUUUUGGUCAGGUAUGUCUUCAUUUAAAAGAUUAUAAUUUCUUCAAAAACAUGUGUGCUUUAAAAAGGAACAAUGGUGAAGUUGAAUAUUUGUUAUGUAGGAUGGGAGUCUUUGAUGUGUUCUGUGAAGAACAUCAUUGCAAAUGGUAGUAAAGAGGUUUCCCUUGCUGCAGUAGGGUGUUUGCAAAUGGGGCUAACAUGAAACAACAAUUUCAACUAAUAAAUUGAUUUGCACCAUAAUUUCUUUUUAACAAAACAUGUUUAUAAGUUAUAUAGCAAUCUGUUCACAACAGAAACCAUUUCAUUUUCAUAAAAAGCCUGCUCCACUUAGCAACCUCACUGUUUCAUUAGGAAUGAUAACAUUAGGAUUCCUAACAGUAACAGGUGGAUAUGUUUUGCUAUGAACUGAUUUGUAAGAUUCAUUGACCUGAAGACUAAGGGCCCUCAUUGUUGGAAGUAUUGGAGAGUUUUUAUCAGCUGCUUUGCUGCCUCCAGAGCCAUUAGCUGUCCAAAAUGUUGUGGAUUUUUCAAAGAUGAUUGGAGCAUUAGAUGUAAAUGAAAAUCUUACACAUCUUGUGUCAGGGAUCAUUUUCUUUUGCCUCAAGAGAACAAAGACCAAGCUAGUACAACAAAAUCAAUAUUUUCUGCAAAGGAUUACAAUGAUCAUAUGGCACUUGUGUGUGAAUAUGAAGGAUGGAAAGAAGCUGAAAGAGAAGGAUAUGCUUAUAAAUAUUGCUGGAGGAAUUUCCUUUAUGCUCAAACACUUCAAGCUAUACAUUCUUUAAGGAAUCGUUUAUCCAUAUUUUAAAAGAUGCUCAAUUACUUGAGACUAAAUCGGGGAUUAGCAACAGAUUAAGUCAUAAUCAAUCAUCGGUUAGCGCCAUUAUAUGCUCAGGCCUUUUUCCUGGCAUUGCAUCU